GAUGAACGCUGGCGGCGUGCCUAAUACAUGCAAGUCGAGCGAAUGGAUUAAGAGCUUGCUCUUGUGAAGUUAGCGGCGGACGGGUGAGUAACACGUGGGUAACCUGCCCAUAAGACUGGGAUAACUCCGGGAAACCGGGGCUAAUACCGGAUAACAUUUUGAACCGCAUGGUUCGAAAUUGAAAGGCGGCUUCGGCUGUCACUUAUGGAUGGACCCGCGUCGCAUUAGCUAGUUGGUGAGGUAACGGCUCACCAAGGCAACGAUGCGUAGCCGACCUGGGAGGGGUAUCGGCCACACUGGGACUGAGACACGGCCCAGACUCCUACGGGAGGCAGCAGUAGGGAAUCUUCCGCAAUGGACGAAAGUCUGACGGAGCAACGCCGCGUGAGUGAUGAAGGCUUUCGGGUCGUAAAACUCUGUUGUUAGGGAAGAACAAGUGCUAGUUGAAUAAGCUGGCACCUUGACGGUACCUAACCAGAAAGCCACGGCUAACUACGUGCCAGCCGCCACGGUAA
rnacentral:rRNA from 1 species